rnacentral:rRNA from 1 species
UACGUAGGCAGCAAGCGUUGUUCGGAGUUACUGGGCGUAAAGGGUGUGUAGGCGGAUUUUUAAGUCAGAGGUGAAAUCUCCAGGCUCAACCUGGAAACUGCCCCUGAUACUAUUAGUCUUGAAUAUUGAUGAGGUGGGCGGAACGGGUCAUGUAGCGGUGAAAUGCUUAGAGAUGACCCGGAACACCAAUUGCGAAGGCAGCUCACUGGGCAAUUAUUGACGCUGAGGCACGAAAGCGUGGGGAUCAAACAGG